rnacentral:rRNA from 1 species
GUGGGGAAUUUUGGACAAUGGACGAAAGUCUGAUCCAGCGACGCCGCGUGGAGGACGAAGGUUUUCGGAUUGUAAACUCCUUUUACAGGGGACGAAAGCCCGCAAGGGUUUGACAGUACUCUGUGAAUAAGCCACGGCUAACUACGUGCCAGCAGCCGCGGUAAUACGUAGGUGGCGAGCGUUACUCGGAAUUACUAGGCGUAAAGCGCGUGUAGGCGGGGGCUUAAGUCAGUCGUGAAAGCUCAGGGCUCAACCCUGAAAUGUCGACUGAAACUGGGCUUCUUGAGUGCGGUAGAGGAGAUUGGAAUUCCAGGUGUAGCGGUGAAAUGCGUAGAUAUCUGGAAGAACGCCAAAGGCGAAGGCAGAUCUCUGGGCCGUUACUGACGCUGAGACGCGAAAGCUAGGGGAGCAAACAGGAUUAGAAACCCCUGUAGUCC